rnacentral:rRNA from 1 species
GACGAACCGUGCGAACGUUGUUCGGAAUCACUGGGCUUAAAGGGCGCGUAGGCGGGCUGUCCAGUCUGGGGUGAAAUCCCACGGCUCAACCGUGGAACUGCCUCAGAUACUGACGGCCUCGAGGGAGAUAGGGGCAUGCGGAACUGUAGGUGGAGCGGUGAAAUGCGUAGAUAUCGGAAGGAACACCGGUGGCGAAAGCGGCGCGCUGGACCUCUUCUGACGCUGAGGCGCGAAAGCCAGGGGAGCAAACGGG